UAGCAUAAAAACAUCCAAGUGUAGAAAAUAUAGAAAAAAAAGAAGCUCGGAGCUUGGCAUGAGAACAAUAUAAAAGAAACUCAACAAAGUUGAGCAAGCUUUUAGUGAAAUGGUCAAUCCAUAUGCAAAUAACGUAAUUCGGCUUAAACCAAACUCGAGACGGGGACUUAUCUUCCUACCUGGUCUAAUAAAAAUAUUAAGCCCCAACUUAUAUCUAUUUAAGCUAAAUUUAUAUAUUAUAACUAAAUCUCAGUAGUUUGGUAUAAUUAUUAUGUUUUAUCCUUUUGUAAUUAUUUAUUAAACUAUUAUUAUUUUAAUAGAAAUAUAAGUUCAUUAUCAAUGUUGAUCUUAUAAAUAUAAUUAAUAUUUUUUAAGAAAUAUUUAUUUCAUAAUCACUCUC
rnacentral:lncRNA from 1 species